rnacentral:rRNA from 1 species
UACGAAGGGGGCUAGCGUUGCUCGGAAUCACUGGGCGUAAAGCGCACGUAGGCGGAUUGCUAAGUCAGGGGUGAAAUCCUGGAGCUCAACUCCAGAACUGCCUUUGAUACUGGCGAUCUAGAGUCCGGGAGAGGUGAGUGGAACUGCGAGUGUAGAGGUGAAAUUCGUAGAUAUUCGCAAGAACACCAGUGGCGAAGGCGGCUCACUGGCCCGGUACUGACGCUGAGGUGCGAAAGCGUGGGGAGCAAACAGG